rnacentral:tRNA from 1 species
GGGUCGUUAGCUCAGUUGGUAGAGCAGUUGACUUUUAAUCAAUUGGUCGCAGGUUCAAUUCCUGCACGACCCACCAAAU